rnacentral:rRNA from 1 species
CACGCUGAAAACACCGGUUCUCGUUCAAUCACCGAAGUUAAGCAUCGUAGAGCCAGGUCAGUACUUAGAUGGGGGACCGCUUGGGAACACCUGGUACUGUAAG